ensembl:lncRNA
UCUAGAGAGGGUUAGCUAGGUGACUUAACCUUUGGGACGAAGCCUUAGAGCAGUCUAGAGAGGGUUAGCUAGGUGACUUAACCUUUAGGAUACAGCCUUAUAGCAGUCUAGAGGGUUAGCUAGGUGACUUAAGCUUUAGGAUACAGCCUUAGGGCAGUCUAGAGGGUUAGCUAGGUGACUUAACCUUUAGGAUACAGCCUUAGGGCAGUCUAGAGGGUUAGCUAGAUGACUUAACCUUUAGGAUACAGCCUUAGGGCAGUCUAGAGGGUUAGCUAGAUGACUUAACCUUUAGGAUACAGCCUUAGGGCAGUCUAGAGGGUUAGCUAGGUGACUUAACUUUGUGGCCUCAGGAAGAUGGUUCAUCCGUUUAACUCUAACCAAGAUGAUUACUGCAGUAAUGAGAAGACACACGCAAUGAGAGGAGAGGGUAGAGGAGAGGAGGGUAG